rnacentral:tRNA from 1 species
GGGAAUGAGGUGUAAUUGGUUGCAUAACCCCCUGUCACGGGGUAGGUAGCGGGAUCGUAACCCGUCAUUCCCGCCA